GAGUUCAUGCCCGAAAGGGUAGGCCUCCCACCCUUGUGUAUUAUUACUUUGUUGCUUUGGCGAGCUGCCUUCGGGCCUUGUAUGUUCGCCAGAGAAUAUCAAAACUCUUUUAUUAAUGUCGUCUGGGUACUAUAUAAUAGUUAAAACUUUCAACAACGGAUCUCUUGGUUCU
rnacentral:misc_RNA from 1 species